rnacentral:tRNA from 1 species
GGUUAUAGCUUGGUGGUAGAGCACAUGUUUAGGAUGCAAGAGGUCCUGGGUUCAAUCCCUAGUACCUCCA